rnacentral:rRNA from 1 species
UACGGAGGGUGCAAGCGUUAUCCGGAUUCACUGGGUUUAAAGGGUGCGUAGGUGGGUUGGUAAGUCAGUGGUGAAAUCUCCGAGCUUAACUUGGAAACUGCCAUUGAUACUAUCAGUCUUGAAUAUUGUGGAGGUCAGCGGAAUAUGUCAUGUAGCGGUGAAAUGCGUAGAUAUCUGGAGGAACACCGGUGGCGAAGGCGGCAUCCUGGACCGGCAUUGACGCUGAGGCGCGAAAGCCAGGGGAGCAAACGGG